GACGAACGCUGGCGGCGUGCUUAACACAUGCAAGUCGAACGGAAAGGCCCUGCUUUUGUGGGGUGCUCGAGUGGCGAACGGGUGAGUAACACGUGAGUAACCUGCCCUUGACUUUGGGAUAACUUCAGGAAACUGGGGCUAAUACCGGAUAGGAGCUCUUGCUGCAUGGUGGGGGUGGGAAAGUUUCGGCGGUUGGGGAUGGACUCGCGGCUUAUCAGCUUGUUGGUGGGGUAGUGGCUUACCAAGGCUUGGACGGGUAGCCGGCCUGAGAGGGUGACCGGCCACAUUGGGACGGGGAUGCGGCACAGACUCCUACGGGAGGCAGCGGUGGGGAAGAGUGCACAAUGGGCGGAAGCCUGAUGCAGCAACGCCGCGUGCGGGAUGACGGCCUUCGGGUUGGAAACCGCAGUCGCCUGUGACGAGGCGUGAGUGACGGUAAUGGGUAAAGAAGCACCGGCUAACUACGUG
rnacentral:rRNA from 1 species